UUUGUUAGGUGCUGCAGCUCCCAGCCGCUAAACCCCCAAUUUUUUGUGGUUGACCUCGGAUCAGGUAGGAAUACCCGCUGAACUUAAGCAUAUCAA
rnacentral:rRNA from 1 species